rnacentral:miRNA from 1 species
AGGUCAUCUUGCAGCUUCAAU